rnacentral:rRNA from 1 species
UGGGGAAUCUUGGACAAUGGGCGAAAGCCUGAUCCAGCCAUGCCGCGUGAGUGACGAAGGUCUUCGGAUUGUAAAGCUCUUUUGGCGGGGACGAUAAUGACGGUACCCGCAGAAUAAGCCCCGGCUAACUUCGUGCCAGCAGCCGCGGUAAUACGAAGGGGGCUAGCGCUGUUCGGAAUUACUGGGCGUAAAGCGCACGUAGGCGGAUUUGUAAGUCAGGGGUGAAAUCCCGGGGCUCAACCUUGGAACUGCCCUUGAUACUGCAAGUCUCGAGUCCGAUAGAGGUGAGUGGAAUUCCUAGUGUAGAGGUGAAAUUCGUAGAUAUUAGGAAGAACACCAGUGGCGAAGGCGGCUCACUGGAUCGGUACUGACGCUGAGGUGCGAAAGCGUGGGGAGCAAACAGGAUUAGAUACCCGUGUAGUCCCUGAGCGGGCUGGCAAGGCGCAU